ACGGCAGCACGGGUGCUUGCACCUGGUGGCGAGGGCGAACGGGUGAGUAUACAUCGGAACAUGUCCUGUAGUGGGGGAUAGCCGGGGUCGACGAGCGAGACAUCAGCGACGCGAUGACGGACAGAGGGCUACGGAUCGGCGGCGAAAGCCGGAUUAAUACCGCAUACGAUCCACGGAUGAAAGCGGGGGACCUUCGGGCCUCGCGCUAUAGGGUUGGCCGAUGGCUGAUUAGCUAGUUGGUGGGGUAAAGGCCUACCAAGGCGACGAUCAGUAGCUGGUCUGAGAGGACGACCAGCCACACUGGGACUGAGACACGGCCCAGACUCCUACGGGAGGCAGCAGUGGGGAAUUUUGGACAAUGGGCGAAAGCCUGAUCCAGCAAUCCGCGUGUGUGAAGAAGGCCUUCGGGUUGUAAAGCACUUUUGUCCGGAAAGAAAUCCUUGGCUCUAAUACAGUCGGGGGAUGACGGUACCGGAAGAAUAAGCACCGGCUAACUACGUGCCAGCAGCCGCGGUAAUACGUAGGGUGCAAGCGUUAAUCGGAAUUACUGGGCGUAAAGCGUGCGCAGGCGGUUUGCUAAGACCGAUGUGAAAUCCCCGGGCUCAACCUGGGAACUGCAUUGGUGACUGGCAGGCUAGAGUAUGGCAGAGGGGGGUAGAAUUCCACGUGUAGCAGUGAAAUGCGUAGAGAUGUGGAGGAAUACCGAUGGCGAAGGCAGCCCCCUGGGCCAAUACUGACGCUCAUGCACGAAAGCGUGGGGAGCAAACAGGAUUAGAUACCCUGGUAGUCCACGCCCUAAACGAUGUCAACUAGUUGUUGGGGAUUCAUUUCCUUAGUAACGUAGCUAACGCGUGAAGUUGACCGCCUGGGGAGUACGGUCGCAAGAUUAAAACUCAAAGGAAUUGACGGGACCGCACAAGCGGUGGAUGAUGUGGAUUAAUUCGAUGCAACGCGAAAAACCUUACCUACCCUUGACAUGGUCGGAAUCCUGCUGAGAGGCGGGAGUGCUCGAAAGAGAACCGGCGCACAGGUGCUGCAUGGCUGUCGUCAGCUCGUGUCAGAUGUUGGGUUAAGUCCCGCAACGAGCGCAACCCUUGUCCUUAGUUGCUACGCAAGAGCACUCUAAGGAGACUGCCGGUGACAAACCGGAGGAAGGUGGGGAUGACGUCACCAGGUGGCGGGAUGCAAUGGUCGGAACAGAGGGUUGCCAACCCGCGAGGGGGAGCUAAUCCCAGAAAACCGAUCGUAGUCCGGAUUGCACUCUGCAACUCGAGUGCAUGAAGCUGGAAUCGCUAGUAAUCGCGGAUCAGCAUGCCGCGGUGAAUACGUUCCCGGGUCUUGUACACACCGCCCGUCACACCAUGGAGUGGGUUACCAGAAGUGGCUAGUCUCCGCAAGGAGACGGUCACCACGGUAGGAUUCAUGACUGGGGUGAAGUCGUAACAAGG
rnacentral:rRNA from 1 species